rnacentral:rRNA from 1 species
AUGCUCGAGCCGUACGACCUCAUCCGCCUCGCCAUCGAGCACCAUGCAGGCCACCCCUCCUUCCACUUCACAGCCACCACCGGCUGUGCGGCCCUUCUCGUCUUCGACUCCCACGAUGAACACGAGGCGACCAUGGCGCACUUCUCCGCCAAGUACGCCGGCGUCGAGAUCACCCUCCUCCGUCCCGAAGAAACCGACAACCGCGCCACCACCCGCUACGACCGCCUGGUCGAGCUCGAGGCCAAGAAUUACCCCCUCGAGCUUUGGCACCCACACGGCGCCAACUUUGUGUUCGGCCACUUUGGGGUGCUUUGCUGCGUCGACAACAACUGCCUCAACGCCGGAGACUUCACGGUGAUGCGGGCCUUCCUCCGCGUGGAAGGCAACCACGUCACGCCACAUGGAUGCAUCCUCCGUCUUCCGCCCGCUCAAGUCGUCGACGUCAAGCUCCGGGUUGUCAAAACCUGGGCGAUCUUCGACGACCAACCGGUCCCCCUUGAUGCCGACGGCGACGACGAGCUCCCUAGCCAGCCGCAUGUCCACGGCGCCUGGCGUUGGAACCGCGGUCACAUCGGCCCCUACCCCGGUCUGCAUGGUGUCGACGCCAUGCCACCCCCAUCACCACGCGAACCAUCACCACCACCCCCCGCUGCCCAGCCUCUGCACGCUCGAGCCAACUUCCUCCAGCCUCUCGUCGGUGGGCCGCUGCUGCCCCCUGCUGCGGUGCACGACGACGAGACCAGCCUUGACGACCACCUGGCCGGCGACGCUGACGACUCCUUCUCACCCGCUGUGGAGGUGUCCAACUCUUUCUCCUCGUUGGCCCUUGAUGAAGGAGAAUGCUCUCAACUCUCCGGCACGGCUUCUGCUGCGCUCAACUCCGACGACCACGAGGCCACUGUCCGCCGCAUCCAGGGCGCUGGCAAGAGGGCUACCGAUGCUGCCAAGCUUCGUAGGAGUCGUCGCCUCGCAGAGAAGGAAGGGGGCCAGUUCGUAGACAUGACAACCAAGGCCAUGCGCGCGAAGGCUCGCCGUUUCGACCUGCAGUAG